AAGUCGUAACAAGGUUUCCGUAGGUGAACCUGCGGAAGGAUCAUUACACUCAGUAGUUUACUACUGCAAAGGAGGCUGUCAGUCUGUAUAGCUUAAUCGCUGAUGAGCAGCUGGUCUCUUUUCUCUACCCUUGUCUUUUGCGUACCUAUGUUUCCUCGGCAGGCUUGCCUGCCGGCUGGACAAUUCUAUAACCUUUUUAAUUUUUAAUCAGCGUCUGAAAAAACUUAAUAAUUACAACUUUCAACAACGGAUCUCUUGGUUCUG
rnacentral:misc_RNA from 1 species